GAUGAACGCUGGCGGCGUGCCUAAUACAUGCAAGUCGAGCGAACGGACGAGAAGCUUGCUUUUCUGAUGUUAGCGGCGGACGGGUGAGUAACACGUGGAUAACCUACCUAUAAGACUGGGAUAACUUCGGGAAACCGGAGCUAAUACCGGAUAAUAUUUUGAACCGCAUGGUUGAAAAGUGAAAGACGGUCUUGCUGUCACGUAUAGAUGGAUCCGCGCUGCAUUAGCUAGUUGGUAAGGUAACGGCUUACCAAGGCAACGAUGCAUAGCCGACCUGAGAGGGUGAUCGGCCACACUGGAACUGAGACACGCUCCAGACUCCUACGGGAGGCAGCAGUAGGGAAUCUUCCGCAAUGGGCGAAGGCCUGACGGAGCAACGCCGCGUGAGUGAUGAAGGUCUUCGGAUCGUAAAACUCUGUUAUUAGGGAAGAACAUAUGUGUAAGUAACGGUGCACAUCUUGACGGUACCUAAUCAGAAAGCCACGGCUAACUACGUG
rnacentral:rRNA from 1 species